AGCAAACAGGAUUAGAUACCCUGGUAGUCCACGCCGUAAACGAUGUCGACUUGGAGGUUGUGCCCUUGAGGCGUGGCUUCCGGAGCUAACGCGUUAAGUCGACCGCCUGGGGAGUACGGCCGCAAGGUUAAAACUCAAAUGAAUUGACGGGGGCCCGCACAAGCGGUGGAGCAUGUGGUUUAAUUCGAUGCAACGCGAAGAACCUUACCUGGUCUUGACAUCCACGGAAGUUUUCAGAGAUGAGAAUGUGCCUUCGGGAACCGUGAGACAGGUGCUGCAUGGCUGUCGUCAGCUCGUGUUGUGAAAUGUUGGGUUAAGUCCCGCAACGAGCGCAACCCUUAUCCUUUGUUGCCAGCGGUCCGGCCGGGAACUCAAAGGAGACUGCCAGUGAUAAACUGGAGGAAGGUGGGGAUGACGUCAAGUCAUCAUGGCCCUUACGACCAGGGCUACACACGUGCUACAAUGGCGCAUACAAAGAGAAGCGACCUCGCGAGAGCAAGCGGACCUCAUAAAGUGCGUCGUAGUCCGGAUUGGAGUCUGCAACUCGACUCCAUGAAGUCGGAAUCGCUAGUAAUCGUGGAUCAGAAUGCCACGGUGAAUACGUUCCCGGGCCUUGUACACACCGCCCGUCACACCAUGGGAGUGGGUUGCAAAAGAAGUAGGUAGCUUAACCUUCGGGAGGGCGCUUACCACUUUGUGAUUCAUGACUGGGGUGAAGUCGUAACAAGGUAACCGUAGGGGAACCUGCGGUUGGAUCACCUCCUU
rnacentral:rRNA from 1 species